AUGGUGCUUGGAGACUUCAACAUGAUCAUUGGAGCCGAGGAGAAAAGCAACUCUAAUCUUAAUAGGAGCAUGAUGAGGAAGUUCAAAUCGUUCGUGGACAACAAUGAACUCAAAGAGAUUUACAUGCAUGGCAGGAGGUUCACGUGGUCUAACGAGAGAGAGCAGGUGGUUAUGACCAAGAUCGAUCGGGUGCUUGUCUCUGUUGACUGGGAGCUCAAUUUCCCGGACGUGCUGCUCCAAGCUCUCUCCACCAACAUCUCGGACCACGCGCCCCUCCAUCUUUCCACUUCGGCCCCCUUCUGCCCGAAGCGUAGGUUUCGUUUUGAGCUUUUUUGGACUCGUUUGGAUGGAUUUGAGCAGGCUGUCAAAGACGCAUGGGUGUGUGAAGGCGAUAUUGUUGACCCUUUUAAGAGGCUUGAUCAGUUGCUCAGAAACACCGCUUCUGCCCUUCAAGCCUGGGGCCAAAAGAAGAUGGGGAACAUCAAAAUUCAGUUGGCUGUGGUGAACUAUGUCAUACAUAGGCUGGACAGAGCUAUGGAGGCCCGGGUUCUCAAUUGGAAGGGGAGAUGGUUGAGUAGGUCCCUUAAGCAUUCGGUCCUUGGGCUUGCCUCCCUUCAACGCACCAUUGAAAGACAACGCUCCAGAAUUAGAUGGAUCCGAGAAGGAGAUGCUAAUACUAAACUUUUCCAAGCAGUGGCUAAUGGAAGGAGGUCUAAGAACUUCAUCCCUCAUAUUAGACACAAUGGGGAACUGAUUUCCCAACAAGAGAGGAAGGAGGAGAUCUUCACCGAAGCCUAUGAGCAGCUGUUGGGUCGUGCCGCUGCCAGGGAGGUAGAUGUGGAUAUGGAUUUCCUUGACAUGGCAGGGCACGAUCUCGUGGAGCUUGAUGCGAUCUUCACGGAGGAGGAGGUGUGGAAAACCAUCAAGGAAUUGCACCCGGAUCGGGGCGCCAGGGCCGGAUGGAUUCAGCGCAAUUUUUUUAUCAAAAAGCCUGGUCCACUAUCAAGAACGAAGUUAUGUCGGUGCUUCUAA
rnacentral:rRNA from 1 species